GAUCCUGGCUCAGAUUGAACGCUGGCGGCAUGCUUUACACAUGCAAGUCGAACGGCAGCAUGGGGGCAACCCUGAUGGCGAGUGGCGAACGGGUGAGUAAUAUAUCGGAACGUACCCGAGAGUGGGGGACAACCAGUCGAAAGAUUGGCUAAUACCGCAUACGAUCUACGGAUGAAAGUGGGGGACCUUCGGGCCUCACGCUCCUGGAGCGGCCGAUAGCUGAUUAGCUAGUUGGUGGGGUAAA
rnacentral:rRNA from 1 species